CUUACUCAGACAAAAAAGGCUGUCAGCAGCAAGUCUAGGCAGAAGCCAGGAGGAGUUAGGAACAGACUAUAAGAAAUGGUUGGUCUGGAGGAAAAAGGGUAAAACUUAUGAGGGCCCUUGUGAAUUGAUGAAUAUGAAGACACUAAGAAAGCAGAAAUAGAACUGAGAAGAAUGAAAUAACUGUCUCUACCUUUCUCGAAUUGUCUAAUAUGGAAAGAAUGAAAGACAGCUAAUAAGCAACUCUCUGCAAGAAGACAUAUGGCUUAGGUUCUGCUGAGCUAUUGGUGAUUUGAUUCCAUGCAUAUGUAUUCACUACUGAGAUGGGAUCUUGCUAUGUGGCCCAGGCUGGCCUCAAACUCCUGGCCUCAAGAUAUUUCCCCCUGCCUUGGCCUCUCAAAGUGAAUCUACUUGGAGAGAGUCAAACACAGAAUCCCUUUGAAUUUAAUGGCCAUUCCAGGUGAUUUGAACAGCCAAAUAAGAAACAGGUCCUCUUCAAUGUACAAUCUGCCAAGUAUGAAGUCUGAAUGACCAUCAUUAUUAUGUAUUUAAUGUGCAUAGAAAAUCUAUCUGCAACCUUCCAGAGUGUACCAGAAGUUUGGAAUGUACAUUAUUAUUGGCUCCAUCUCAAACCACUCAUAAAUCAAAGAAAAUAGCAGUUCCAGAGGAAUCAUCAUAGAGGCUUCUAGGCCCCCAUGCUGUGUGAACCUGGUGAGAAAGGGAAGUCUGCUCUCACUGGACACUGGAACUGUUUGUCUCUGUCUCUGCUGUACUUUCCCUGCCUCUACCUCACUUAGUAAAGAAAUCAUCUUUGCUUGAUAACUAAAACAACCAAUAAGGCUGAGAAAGGGGAAAACCCACAUCUGGAUUUAAAUACAAGGUAUUGGGCCAGCUGCUGGGGAUUAAACUUUGAACAAAACAGAUAGAAUCUAUGUCCUCAUGGGAGUGGCUAAUGGGAGAGUCGGAACAAAAAAAUAGCCAAGGAUAAUCCAGCAAAUGAUUUGGUGAAUGCUAUCAAAGAGAGAAAUACACAUGCUCUGGGAACACCAAGAAUAAACGAGAGAAAGGGACAUUAAUAUAUAUUGAAUAUCUGCUGUGUCAGGCACCUUACAUAUAUUGAUUGCUUCUUCACUUCUUUUAAUCUUUACUACACCACAUGAGGCUGUCAUAGAGAUUCUGAGG
rnacentral:lncRNA from 1 species